GGGGAUGUAAUGGUUUCGACGGGAGUCUUGAAAAUAGAAAUAGCCAUCCGCAGGUCUGGUAACUGCGUCAUCAAACCGGAAAAUUUUAAAACAAACGACAAAGAUUAUUCUUUAUUAGCAGCCUAAGGCUGCUCGUUGGCCUCUAAUCUCUCACAGUUAGAGUAACCGGCGUCGACUUUGUGGGGAACUUUUUUACCAAAGCUUUGAGGUAAAAAAAGAAUUAUGAAGCUACCAAGGAUUUCAGCCUGUUGUUGGGCGGUUAUCUGAGGGAAAUUUUAAAACAGCAACUGUGAUGGGAGAAGUUUCUAUGGAUGGGUUUUCGGACAGGAGUUCGAUUCUCCUCAUCUCCAUAG
rnacentral:tmRNA from 1 species